rnacentral:misc_RNA from 1 species
GAUGAAGAACGCAGCGAAAUGCGAUAAGUAGUGUGAAUUGCAGAAUUCAGUGAAUCAUCGAAUCUUUGAACGCACAUUGCGCCCCUUGGUAUUCCAUGGGGCAUGCCUGUUCGAGCGUCAUUGCUGCCCUCAAGCCCGGCUUGUGUGUUGGGUCUCGUCCCCCUUCCCGGGGGGACGGGCCCGAAAGGCAGCGGCGGCACCGCGUCCGGUCCUCGAGCGUAUGGGGCUUUGUCACCCGCUCUGUAGGCCCGGCCGGCGCUUGCCGAUCAACCAAAACUUUUUUCCAGGUUGACCUCGGAUCAGGUAGGGAUACCCGCUGAACUUAAGCAUAUCAAUAAGCGGAGGA